rnacentral:rRNA from 1 species
UACAGAGGUGGCAAGCGUUGUUCGGAAUUACUGGGCGUAAAGGGCGCGUAGGCGGCCUUCUAAGUCAGACGUGAAAUCCCCAGGCUUAACUUGGGAACUGCGUCUGAUACUGGGAGGCUUGAGUGCGGGAGAGGGAUGUGGAAUUCCAGGUGUAGCGGUGAAAUGCGCAGAUAUCAGGAGGAACACCGGUGGCGAAGGCGGCUCACUGGACCGGUAUUGACGCUGAGGUGCGAAAGCGUGGGGAGCAAACAGG